rnacentral:rRNA from 1 species
AGUGAACGCUGGCGGUAGGCCUAACACAUGCCAGUCGAACGGCAGCACAGUAAGAGCUUGCUCUUACGGGUGGCGAGUGGCGGACGGGUGAGGAAUACAUCGGAAUCUACUUUUUCGUGGGGGAUAACGUAGGGAAACUUACGCUAAUACCGCAUACGACCUACGGGUGAAAGCAGGGGAUCUUCGGACCUUGCGCGAUUGAAUGGGCCGAUGUCGGAUUAGCUAGUUGGCGGGGUAAAGGCCCACCAAGGCGACGAUCCGUAGCUGGUCUGAGAGGAUGAUCAGCCACACUGGAACUGAGACACGGUCCAGACUCCUACGGGAGGCAGCAGUGGGGAAUAUUGGACAAUGGGCGCAAGCCUGAUCCAGCCAUACCGCGUGGGUGAAGAAGGCCUUCGGGUUGUAAAGCCCUUUUGUUGGGAAAGAAAAGCAGCAGGUUAAUACCCCGCUGUUCUGACGGUACCCAAAGAAUAAGCACCGGCUAACUUCGU